rnacentral:rRNA from 1 species
ACGGAAGGCAGCAGUGGGGAAUAUUGCACAAUGGGGGGAACCCUGAUGUAGCAACGCCGCGUGAGUGAUGAAGUAUUUCGGUAUGUAAAGCUCUAUCAGCAGGGAAGAAAAUGACGGUACCUGACUAAGAAGCCCCGGCUAACUACGUGCCAGCAGCCGCGGUAAUACGUAGGGGGCAAGCGUUAUCCGGAUUUACUGGGUGUAAAGGGUGCGUAGACGGCUGUGCAAGUCAGAAGUGAAAUCCCGGGGCUUAACCCCGGUGCUGCUUUUGAAACUGUACGGCUAGAGUGCUGGAGGGGCAAGCGGAAUUCCUGGUGUAGCGGUGAAAUGCGUAGAUAUCAGGAGGAACACCGGUGGCGAAGGCGGCUUGCUGGACAGUAACUGACGUUGAGGCACGAAAGCGUGGGGAGCAAACAGGAUUAGAUACCCUGGUA